GACGAACCGUGCGAACGUUGUUCGGAUUCACUGGGCUUAAAGGGCGCGUAGGCGGGUGACCAAGUCCGGGGUGAAAUCCUCCAGCUCAACUGGAGAACAGCCUUGGAUACUGGUCGCCUCGAGGGAGGUAGGGGCGGGCGGAACUUCCGGUGGAGCGGUGAAAUGCGCAGAUAUCAGGAGGAACACCAAUGGCGAAGGCAGCACUCUGGGACGUGACUGACGCUGAGACGCGAAAGCGUGGGGAGCGAACAGG
rnacentral:rRNA from 1 species